rnacentral:rRNA from 1 species
AUUGAACGCUGGCGGCAGGCCUAACACAUGCAAGUCGAGCGGAGCGGCGGACGGGUGAGUAAUGCCUAGGAAUCUGCCUGGUAGUGGUGGCUAACGUCCGGAAACGGUCGCUAAUACCGCAUACUAUCAGAUGAGCCUCGGUCGGAUUAGCUAGUUGGUGGGGUAAAGGCCUACCAAGGCGACGAUCCGUAACUGGUCUGAGAGGAUGAUCAGUCACACUGGAACUGAGAAACGGUCCAGACUCCUACGGGAGGCAGCAGUGGGGAAUAUUGGACAAUGGGCGAAAGCCUGAUCCAGCCAUGCCGCGUGUGCGAAGAAGGUCUUCGGAUUGUAAAGCACUUUAAGUUGGGAGGCGUUACCAACAGAAUAAGCACCGGCUAACUUCGUGCCAGCAGCCGCGGUAAUAC